AAUAAUAACUUUUGUUGUAAAGUAAGCAUUUCCAUUGGUCUUUUUUAAUGGGUAAUGAGAUACUGUUAACUGCGAAAGGUGUUCAUCAAGUGGUCUUUCUGAAGAAUAUGUUCACAAAGAUGAUCGGGAACUCAUGAUGUUUUUUACUGGUUUAUUUUCUUACUAAUGCAAUUUAAGGAUGUGAUUUGGGAAUUAGCAUUGUAAUGCAACUAUGGGUUACUUUAGGAAUGUAUUCUGGU
rnacentral:misc_RNA from 1 species